AUGGGUAUGAAUAGAUAAUUCCAACACUGUGUGAUUAAGUGCUAGGCUAGGGUAUGUACAGAGGGUUGCGGCGGGCACAGAUGAAGGAGGCUCUAAUUCAGUCUGAGGGGUUCGGGGGAGACUUUUUGAGUGAAGUGACAUGUAAGAUGAAACCUGAAGACUUCCAGGGGCAGGAAGGUGGGCUGGGGGAGCUUUAUGGAUGAGAAACAAAGUAUGCUGAAUUUCGAUAACUGAGAGAAGUUUAAUGUGCCUAUUCAAUGUGAGAUGAGGAAAAGCGGAAAAGACUACAAAUGUCAACAGGGCCCAGAAUGUGACUGUCCUUGAAAACCUUGUCUAGAAUGUUGGGAUUUUAAAGCUACGGCGGUGGGGGCGGCGGGCAGUGGGACGGUUUUCCAUUGGGUAAAGAUAAUUUGGAGUGCUGUACGGAGGGUGGAUUUGUGGGGUUUAGGACUGGAGCCAAAGAAAUCAGGAUGAUGUUGCAGUAAUUUGAGCAAGAGAUGGUGAGGGGAUUAAGGGGAUUGGGAUGAGAAAUACUGAGGAUGUAGAAUUAUUUUCAUAACUAUUGUUAGUCACAGCUGAACUCGCGAGUGCAUUUCUACAGUGUUUCCAAAGUGAAGUGGGAUUCCAAAGGUCUCAACUUUUCAUCUGCGCUUUCUUUCUGGAACUAUGACUAGCCCAGCAGAGAAAGAGGAAAAAAAAGAGAGAGAGGGAGGGGUAACAAUAGGGAUCUGGCAACAGUUUUUGAUAAACACUUUGAAUUUCUGAAACACAUCUUUGACAAACGGGUUGAUUUCCUUUAGCUCUUAGAGCUGUGGGCACACUUUAAUUUGCAUUGCUUCAAAGUAAAUUUGGCUUUUCCAACUCCUUCCUAAGUGAAAGGGUGGGACUGUACAUCUGGGGGGGGGGGCGGUGUCUAUUGCUUAUGACUCACUCUUAAUGAUAUGCACCUGUUUGGUUCUUUGGGUCUCAAAAAGUUACAUGAGAAGCAGGUCAGGAAUGCAGAAGGGUGUCAUCAAGUGGCAGUGGCAUUCCGUGCAGAAAGAACGGAGGCGGCAGCAGUUAAGAGAAGAGUGAAGUAUUCCAUUAUACAGAUGAAAAAACCAAAGCACAGAGAAAACCAGUAACAUACAAGACUACAAAGCUACAGUCUCUUACUCUAUUUUUCCUGUCAUUUCCCCUCCACUCCACUCCUGACUUCCUCAGAAUGACAUGAACCAGAAAAGCUGGAGGAUUUCUGAACCAGUGGCCUCCCAACAUUUUCAAUCAUAUGCUCCUCAAAUCCCUUAUAAGCAAAAAAGAGAGUCUUUGCUGUGAACUUGUUUCUGCUGCGAUUUUUCAUGCAAUAGGAAAUAGCUUAGAGUUAAAUUUGAUAUCAAGAGCUUGGCUGCUAUUUUUUUUUUUUUUUUUGAAUGGCAAAACAGCAUUUCUGUUCACCAAGGGACAUGGAUUAUAAAGCUUUAUCAUCAGCAUGGUGAGAUGUGUCUUUGCUUUAAGUGGCCACUUUCUAUUUUUAGCUUUGCUAUCAUUUCUAAGAACCCUCUAACGGUAGACACAGUAAUCGCUCACUGUAAAUAAGAGAUAUGGCUACAUCGACACAGGUGCUUAGAUUGCUAGGUGACAACAGGAGACUGAGAUGGCAUUCAUUCAAAUAAGUACGAUUUCCAUGGAAAUCAGGAACAUGAAAUCAUUGGGAAUUUAGCUACUUCUGUUACGUCAUAUCCUGGCAGGGGUUGCUGCCUCUGAUGUCAACCUUCCCGUCUGUAUUUAAUAUGUACAAUUCUCAUUU